rnacentral:lncRNA from 1 species
CAGUGGCAGGUCUGAGUUCAUACGAUACCCGCUUCCAGCAGCCAGAAUCAGGACACAUAGACCUUGAUUGAGAUCUUUUGCAUCCUUAUACUUUUGGAUCCAGCCUGGUACACCCAUAUCUUUCUUUCGCAUAAAUUUUCCGAGACCAGAUCCCUCUUUGCCUUUCCCAAACAUUUGGCCGGAAAUCAGAGCAGGUGUCAAAUUAAGUUGUAUCUUCCUCCAUAACUAUUCUGGAGAUGCUCUCUCAGCUCCUGUCAUCACGUUUCUACUGGGUGCUGGAACCAAAUUGGCGAGAUCUAGCAGAAGCUGCGCGCUCUUGGAGACAAUCGGAAGUUGACCAGGGUCAAUUUCUGAACAACUACGAAAUCCCUUCUUUAGGAUUGCCACCAGGACG